rnacentral:rRNA from 1 species
UGGGGAAUCUUGGACAAUGGGGGCAACCCUGAUCCAGCCAUGCCGCGUGAGUGAUGAAGGCCUUAGGGUCGUAAAGCUCUUUCGCCUGUGAAGAUAAUGACGGUAGCAGGUAAAGAAACCCCGGCUAACUCCGUGCCAGCAGCCGCGGUAAUACGGAGGGGGUUAGCGUUGUUCGGAAUUACUGGGCGUAAAGCGCACGUAGGCGGACCAGAAAGUUGGGGGUGAAAUCCCGGGGGCUCAACCCCGGAACUGCCUCCAAAACUAUUGGUCUAGAGUUCGAGAGAGGUGAGUGGAAUUCCAAGUGUAGAGGUGAAAUUCGUAGAUAUUUGGAGGAACACCAGUGGCGAAGGCGGCUCACUGGCUCGAUACUGACGCUGAGGUGCGAAAGUGUGGGGAGCAAACAGGAUUAGAUACCCU